ensembl:lncRNA
AGAUCUUUUUCAACAAGUUUAUUAGCAGUGACAAAGAUUCUUGAGACAUAAUGUAACCCCCUCUUCAUAUCCACUGUAGGAGAUUCAGAGAGAGCAACAUAAAAUGAAAUAUUAAUUCGAACUUUUAACAGUCAAAACAUGGCACAACUGAAGAUUGUUGGGGGGUAAUGGGGGUGUAGGGACAGGGGAAAAGGAAAAGCAAGAGUUUUUUUUUCACGUUCUGAUGUGAUUCCGUUUAAUAUAUCGCUUAACACAGGCACCCUGAACUUGAAAAGUUCGCAAUAUUAACUUUGCAUAUAAUUGAGCGUAUGAAAGAAGACAAAUACACAUGCUUGCACACGAACACACACAUAUGCAUCCAAACGCAAAAAAACAGUUGAGUUAUCAGGACAGGACAAAAAUCAUUCAUACAUCAAGAAAACACAUGAAAUUUUAAUAUGCCAACAAAGAUGCAUUUUCUCGGUACAGAUUUCGCAGUCAAACACACCAUUUAAGUAUCUCUGUACCUCUUUCCCAUUCGUACGUGCUCUCAUUGCUUUAAACACUAAGGGGAGCUAUUUAAGAUGUAUGUAAAUAAUUUAUAUUGCAAUUAUAUAAUUUGUGGGGUAGUAAGUGCUUAUUUAAAUUGAGGAAAUUAAGCUAAUGUGCAACCCCCCAAAAUAUAAACUCUGUUCUGUUUGCAUUCUGUGCAUAGAACCUCUAUAUGUGCAUUUGACCCCUGGAGUUGAGUUUUUUUUUUUAAACAAAGACCAGGUUCAGUUCAUUCUGCUGACAGCGUUUACAAAGACGUAACUGAGUUAGGGAGACAGCUCACCCAAAAUCUGAAUUCUGCCAUUAUUUACACACCCUCACGUUAUUCCUAACUGGAUUAAACUGUUUUGGUCUAUACAGAGAAAGUCAGUGGGGUCCGAAACAGACGAGACAUUCACGAUACGCUGGAACAGGGUCAGAAAGUCUUUGGAAUGACAUGAGGUUGAGUGAAUGAUGACAGGAUCUUAAUUUUUAUGUGAACGAUCCCCCUUUAAAGGGAAAUUGGGAUACCGGGACAAUGCAUGUUCACAGAGGUAUUUCAUAAUUAACUUAAUGUAAUAACAGAUGGUUAUAAAUUAUGCCUACAUCAGUAACUCCUUAAGCAAAUCCCUUGGAUAACCAAAAAAAAAAAAAAAAAAACCUGUUAAUAACUACAAUAAAACUCAAGUGAAGCAAUGAAGAGAUGUGCAUCUAAAAAUCCAAGAAAUUAGCUAAUUAUCAAUCGCAGGAUUUCUCUACAUUGUCAAAGCUUGUAAGUGGAAUCUAAAUGGAAUUAGAAAAGAUGAAGCAGAAUUUAACAACCGUACAUCCGUUUCAUCGACAGCUGCAAUAUCUUUUGAACCAAAACAUUGAACAGACGUUGGAUACCUCAAGAACAGAAACAAAUUAAGAACUAUCAUGAAACAUCCCACGUAUUCUGAAGACAGACCACAUUGGAAACCAUUACAUGCUGCAUUUAAAACAUAAAAAAAAAAAAAAAAAAAAACUCUUGCAAAGGAAAGACAUACAGAUACGUAGUGUGGUUAACGUCUUCAAUGUGUACUUAAAUCUUUUCACCUGACAGUGUUUCAUGGUCAUGUACAGAAAACAUUGAUGCCAAAUGAUACCUGUAAAGAAACAAGCAUUGGCUUUCAGUCAAAAAUUAAAUCCCUCAAAAGGUUACAAUUUAAAAAAAAAAAACAGCUGGUACAAACAUGGGACGUUCUUUUUUUAUAUUUGGCAAUAACACUGUUGGUGCGUUUUUUGUUAGAUAGAACACUGCCCUAAUUCUACCUGAGUGUCUUUUUUAUUUUCUUUCCUUUUUCACUUUUUUUUUUACAUUUUCUUUUGUUUAUAUUUAUUUUCUUUUGAGAUUGCGGACCGAUGGUCCUUAGGUAGAGGUUAAAGUUAGUAGCCUAUGAUUAAUUACUAGAAUUUCAAAUAUGUACUGAUAUGUCAAUGUUUAAGGAAAUACAAUUCAAGAACAUAAUACGUAAAGUGCUACUGAUUCUUAUAAAUCAAUUAAUCUGUGAAAUGAUAAAACAGAGGAUAGACUGUAACUUUAGAAUGCAUUUUCUGGCAUUAGAAAGAGAAACAUUUACACAACGGCAGAAUUCCUGUCAACGCCGGUUCUACUGAUGAGGCUCAUAUGUGCUUUAGCAAGCGCUUAACCGAUAAGCAUGGAAACCCAGGUACAAAUUAAAACAUACAAGAAAUAAAAAGCAUAAAAGUGUGAUUGUGGUGCUCAAUAAAAAAUAAAAAAACACUAGGGGCUUCUAGUCUCUUGAGUGAAAUAAAAAGUCUGGAUGUUUUGCCAGCGACUGCUCUCUAGGUUCCCUCUAAAUUGUGGUGUAGUCCCAAAUGAAGCAAAAGUAGUCGCUACUUCCUUUUUCUAGGCAAAAACAAAACCCUAUUUCGAAAAGCAGCUCUACAGAACUUUAACGAAAUGAAAUUAAGCCUCCAUAAUGUACCUAGAGCAUUGAAGCUAAAGCAACUUUGUGGUGUGGCACAUCUUAUCGAUUAGUUCUGGGUUCUAACUGCUACUUAAAAAUUAAAAACAUAAAACACUCAAGAUAAAAGAGUAUAGCGUGAUCUCCACCCUCCGUUUACACACUCACACAAUGAGCAAGAGACUCGAACGGCUGUCAGGUGACAGAAGCAUGAAGAGACGACAGUAAGACCAUUGAACGAUAGCACUAUGGACUCUUCCAAAAGAGGACGCACAGAGCAGCAUACUGCACAUGCACACUACGGGGCGUGUGGUUCCCAAUCCGAGUGUACCUCAUAACCUGCCCUUGGAGUUUUUAAGUAUUUCAAAGAAAAGAAAAAGAAGAAAAAAAAAUGAAGUGGAGACGCGUCACUAACAGGACUGAUCCAAACUUGUCCAGAAAUUAAAUUAAGACAAUUAUUUAUUCCCAAAGGCUUGAACUAACCACCCCCCACACAUAAAUGGAGUUUGAUUCCCCUGAAUCUCCAAAAAACAAAAAAGCCAUGUAGUUCCUCUGGCCACAGUAUGUUAAUUCACUGUAGCGCGACACUCUUCGGUUCUGUGCCCAAAUGAAUUCAGUGUGACCACUGCAUGAUUAUUUGAAUUCAAGAGGGCACACAUGGUGACAUGCUUUCCUCCUGGACACUCUCUUAGGUCUGUGAGUACUUAAAAGAGAAGCUUCCGCCCAACCAAAUGUCAUGACAGGGUUAUCAUGAGUGUUUGACGAGUGAGUUGUAUGUCCCCAAAGUCAUUGAAAUUGUCUUCAGCAACAUAUCCGCAUUAGAGUUGAGAUCCACAGCUCCUGUUCUUCCAUUCUAAUAUUCUAAAACCAGCUAACCUGUUUCCCUUAAGCGCACUCUGUUCCUCUGCGCUCAGCCUUGACUGCUGACGGGUAACAAGGUCCUUUCUAAACCAUUGGAUUAGUUCUGAUUCAGGAUGUUCAGAGGCAGCAACCAUGUUCCUCAAGCACAUCUUUUUGCAGCAGAGUUCAUCUGAGAUAUAGUGUCCAGACACAGCUUCACUGAGCAGGUCCGUCCCAUGACUCACUGUAGAGGACUACUCGAUUUGGAUCUGCGAGAAAGUGAGAAAGAUGAAUGUAGGUGAGAGCUGGGAACUCUAAAACCACAAACAAAAAUGAUAUGGGAAGGGUUGAGGGAUGUGAGAUUUGGGUUGAAAUAUCUAAAUGCUGAAUCAUUUAAGGGUUUAAUCACAUGCUGAGGCAAGAGUUGUCUAUAAGUAUGUCAACAAACACAAGAGGUAAAUGGCAGCUUACCUUGUUUUUGCAAAUUCAAAAAAUAUUCCAUUUCUGCAAAGAAGAGAGAUGAAAGUUUAGUGUAAAAAUACCCAAGUACAGCCACAAUUCAAUCAAGAUCUGUCCUUUUUAUUUAACUUGAAAGAAACUCACACUAAUAGAAUAACUUCAAAAUACUGCUGUCUUGUUGCUUUAUAUAACCACACUGAAAUAACAUUUAUAUAUAUUCAGUCGCACAGUGUAAUUUGAGUGUAAGAGUAACAACCUUAUU